rnacentral:rRNA from 1 species
ACUGAACGCUGGCGGAAUGCUUUACACAUGCAAGUCGAACGGCAGCACGAGAGCUUGCUCUUGGUGGCGAGUGGCGAACGGGUGAGUAAUAUAUCGGAACGUAUCCAAUAAUGGGGGAUAACUAAUCGAAAGGUUAGCUAAUACCGCAUACGCCUACGGGGAAAGCAGGGGAUCUUCGGACCUUGCGUUAAUGGAGCGGCUGAUAUCUGAUUAGCUAGUAGGUGAGGUAAAGGCUCACCUAGGCUUCGAUCAGUAGCUGGUCUGAGAGGACGACCAGCCACACUGGAACUGAGACACGGUCCAGACUCCUACGGGAGGCAGCAGUGGGGGAAAUUUUUGGACAAUGGACGCAAGUCUGAUCCAGCCAUUCCGCGUGCAGGAUGAAGGCCCUCGGGUUGUGAACUGCUUUGUUACGGAACGAAAAGGUUUCUAUUAAUACUA